UUAGGAAUAUUCGUCAAUGGGGGAAACCCUGAACGAGCAAUGCCGCGUGAACGAUGAAGGCCCUCUGGGUUGUAAAGUUCUGUUGUUUGGAAAGAAUUGUAAGACUAGGAAAUGAGUUUUACUUGACGGUACCAUUCAAGAAAGCCACGGCUAACUACGUGCCAGCAGCCGCGGUAAUACGUAGGUGGCGAGCGUUAUCCGGAUUUAUUGGGCGUAAAGCGUGCGCAGGCGGCUUGUUAAGUCUAAAAUAAAAGCCCGAAGCUUAACUUCGGUUCGUUUUAGAAACUGGCAGGCUCGAGUAUGGUAGAGGCAAAUGGAAUUUCUAGUGUAGCGGUAAAAUGCGUAGAUAUUAGAAGGAACACCAGUGGCGAAGGCGAUUUGCUGGGCCAUCACUGACGCU
rnacentral:rRNA from 1 species